rnacentral:lncRNA from 1 species
GUUACUGCCGGGAUGAGAAACCCACGAAGAGAGGGCACUAACCUAAAAUAGGAAUGCUUCUUCCCAUUGAAAGUCGUAGAAUACCAGUGAACCUAGCCCAGCCAAACUAACGGAACAACUGAAAUCUAAACUCUAGAUGGCGCGAGUCCGAGUUGUGGGGCUCCCCUGUGAAGCGACUGACCCUGAAGAAGGGGUUCAGCCUGCAGCUGACUUGAGCUGUGGUUUUCCUAGAACACAGCAUGGGAGAGCUUCCUCCUGGCCCUCCAAGACUGGAUUUUGGCUAGGAACCAGACUCAGAAGAGACAGCUUUGCUGAGGAUCAAAUGGAUACCCCCUAAAAUGGAAGCAGAGGCUGUAGAAGACCUAGGAGAUGGAGGUGACUCCUGGCCUCAGGAACUCUGAGGACUGAGUGUAGAAGUUCAGAGAGAUCAUGAGGAGUUGCCUUAUGCAUGUAACACAAAUCCCUCUACAAGAAUGUAGCGUCUCAUCUCAGUCUCUGUCCGUGAGCAGCCACCUCAUCCUGUUUCCUUCCUCACUUAGCUACAUAGUGUCAUUCCUCCUAGUGCUGGGAGGCUGGGUUCCUCCUAGUGCUGGGAGGCUGAGUUCCUCCUAGUGCUGGGAGGCUAGGUAUCUCCAGGCAUUUCAGAGGGGCAGGAGGAAGGGGAGGACAGGGAGUGGCAGAGAGCCAGUGUCCCCCCCUGGAGAUAUGCUUAACUGAGAAGCCAGACUUUAUUUUAAUAGCUCUGCUGGACUCUGUCUCCCAGGCUCCUCCCACUAAAUGUGCUUACUCAUCAGAGUCAAACUUCCUGCAUCUCCUGCCUCAGCUAGUGUUGGGGCUCAAGGGCCAGCAGGGUGAUUGGCCAGGCACUCUUCAGGGUUCCAAGGGAUGAAAAGGCUGUUUCAGGGUCAAGUCCAAACCAGAACGGACAGGCUGGGCUUGCCUUCAUGCCUCUCCUGGAUUCUGACCCCUGGGUAGCAAUCUAGGCCUUAUUCUGGGGGCUUUCCUGGGAGUGGUGCCAUGGUAGAAAGAGUUAGACAGCUGGAGGUAACUGCCUGAAGUCUCAGGAGAUAAGGGUAGGAUAUUGCUGUGCCUUUGAGCCAUAUUUUGCUGAGAAAGCUCCUUCUCAGCGCCUGGGUCCUGGCUGUGUGAGGCCCAAAGCUUAUGUAGUGUUGGAAGCUUCAGUUGAGAAAAGCAAUAUGAAAUUAUUAAUGCAAAAUUAAAUACAGAGACAAACACUUGUAAUAAUAAAGCUGGAAUAAUUACAAGCUUUAAGCA